GUGGGGAAUCUUCCGCAAUGGACGAAAGUCUGACGGAGCGACGCCGCGUGAGUGAAGAAGGCCUUCGGGUCGUAAAGCUCUGUCAUCAGGGACGAACGGCCGGUGGAGUGGAAAGCCAUCGGAUUGACGGUACCUGAGAAGGAAGCCACGGCUAACUACGUGCCAGCAGCCGCGGUAAUACGUAGGUGGCAAGCGUUGUCCGGAAUUAUUGGGCGUAAAGCGCGCGCAGGUGGGAUCUUAAGUCCAUUUUUAAAGUUCGGAGCUCAACUCCGUGAUGGGAUGGAAACUGGGAUUCUUGAGUACCGGAGAGGAAAGCGGAAUUCCCCGUGUAGCGGUGAAAUGCGUAGAUAUGGGGAGGAACACCAGUGGCGAAGGCGGCUUUCUGGACGGUGUCUGACACUGAGGCGCGAAAGCCAGGGGAGCGAACGGGAUUAGAUACCCGUGUAGUCC
rnacentral:rRNA from 1 species